rnacentral:rRNA from 1 species
UAGACAUAUCAGUGAUGCAGUUAACACAUUAAACAUUCAGCCUGGGGAGUACGGUCGCAAGAUUAAAACUCAAAGGAAUAGACGGGGACCCGCACAAGUGGUGGAGCAUGUGGUUUAAUUCGAAGAUACGCGAAGAACCUUCCCUAGCCUUGACAUCUUAUAGAAUUCAGUAGAGAUACAGAAGUGCCUUCGGGAGCUAUAUUACAGGUGAUGCACGCCCGUCGUCAGCUCGAGUCGUGAGAUGUUGGGGUAAGUCCCGCAACGAGCGCAACCCUCGUCUCUAGAUACUACCGGCUAGUCCGAGGACUCUAGUGAGACUUCCUUCGUAAGGAGGAGGAAGGUGAGGACGACGUCAAGUCAUCAUGGCCCCUACGGCUAGGACAACACACGUGCUACAAUGGUUAGGACAAUGAGAAGCAAUAUCGCGAGGCGGAGCAAAUCUAUAAUCCUAAUCUCAGUUCGGAUUGUAGUCUGCAACUGGGCUACAUGAAUCUGGAAUCACUAGUAAUCGUAGAAAAGGUAUCCUACGGUGAAUACGU